UCAGAUCAAACACAACAAACAUCACAAUCAGCUGUGACUGAAUCAGCAACUCCUGCAGGAACUUUCAGGCUUUUAAUGAUGAUACAGGUUUCAGUCUCCAGGUCUACGUUUUGGAACCGGUACCAGCAGGACCAGAUCCUGGAACCGGCAGCUGUUGGACCCGACCCGGUUCUCCUCUCAGAACCUGCCUGAGCCUGACCCGGUUAUCCAUCUCUGCUCAUAUUUUGUAUUUCAUGGCGGCGGUUGCGUGACGCUUCAUCCCUGAGAUUUAAUGUUUAUCUGAGUUUUUCCUCAGGAGUUAAAACAUUUCUGACUCUGAAUGUCAGUAAUCAUUUUUCAUCCUGUAAUUCCAGUCAUGCUUUGGGAACUUCCUUCCUUCAGACGGUUUUGACGUGUUAAACCCCCAUCGACUGCAGCCAGGCGGAGACGGAGCGACUGGUUCUGCAGGUUCUCUGCUUUCAGCCCGGCCCACCUGGACACACAGCACACCUUUGUGAGGCAGAGCCUUUCCUCACAAUGAGGCCGAGCCGCUGCAGAGCAGAUACUCUGUCCCUGAAAGCAACUCGUGUUUCUGCUCCAGCACGGUUUCAACCCGGCUGGGAAAUCGCAGCAGGUUCUGAAAAUGUUUUCUGAUGGAACUGUUAUAAAUAUUUCACUCUCAGUGUUCUGACUGUUUAUAGCUCCAAUCUAAAUGAAAGGUUUAAAAUAAUAAAGUGGCAAAAAGCCCAGCAGUUUUACUUUUAUUGUUUCUGAAAAUAAUGCAGAACAAAAUGUAACAGCAGUUAGCUGAACAGCUAGCAAGGUAAUAACUUCACAACUAGCUAGUAAAUAGUUAAUAAAUCACUAACAAAUGGAUAAACAACUAAAGCUAGCUAGAGCUAAGAAGUAUCAAAUAUCAGUUUAAACAUUUUAAGGAGUAGCAUGCUAGCAGCUAACAAGGCAGAGGCUAUGUGCACACAGCAAGUCUGGAAACGUGACUUUGAUUUUUUACUGAAAUUUUAUUAUUUUUGUGUGAAUCAUUCAUGACAAGCAAGUUGCUAACAGCUUGUUAUCAAGUGGCUAUACAGUUGUAUACAGCUGCCCACAGCUAGGUAGCAUAGCAGCAAAGCUAUUAAGCUAGUUAGCUAGUGUAAUAAACUCUCAACAUGAAACCUUUAGUUUCAUAACAGAGAAACUAAUCAGCCUUUAACUUUCAUUUAAAAUGAAAACAGCUUUAUAAUGUGUUAAGUAGCAUGUAGCCUAUGCUAGCUGCUUAUCCACAUAAAACUGUUUUGAUUUUUUUUUGCUGUUUUCUGUUGGAAAAACUGUAAAUACGUCAGCAGAACAUGAACCCAAACACGUCUUUGAUUUUUAUGAGGGUUUAGAAAGAUGAACAUCAGCGUUUUAGCAUUUAUAUUGAGAGCCAUGUGUCUCAUUGCUGCCUUGUUUUGAAUCUGAGCUAAUAAAAGUUUAUUGGCUGCAGAGCAAAGGAGAAUAUUUAAGGUGGAACACAGAAUUGAACGUGUAAAAACAAGACGAACCCGUGACUAGAUGGUGGAGUGGAACUGGAAACUCAUUUCCAAAGCAAAACAACCUGAUGUGAAUAAAACCCAUCUGCUAGAAUAUUUCUGUUGUUGUUUUUAAAUAUAAUCACAGAUCAAUAACCAAACCUUU